rnacentral:rRNA from 1 species
GUUAAGCGACUAAGCGUACACGGUGGAUGCCCUGGCAGUCAGAGGCGAUGAAGGGCGUGCUAAUCUGCGAUAAGCGCCGGUAAGGUGAUAUGAACCGUUAUAACCGGCGAUACCCGAAUGGGGAAACCCAGUGUGAUUCGUCACACUAUCAUUAACUGAAUCCAUAGGUUAAUGAGGCGAACCGGGGGAACUGAAACAUCUAAGUACCCCGAGGAAAAGAAAUCAACCGAGAUUCCCCCAGUAGCGGCGAGCGAACGGGGAGGAGCCCAGAGCCUGAAUCAGCAUGUGUGUUAGUGGAAGCGUCUGGAAAGGCGCGCGAUACAGGGUGACAGCCCCGUACACAAAAGCGCAUGUGCUGUGAGCUCGAUGAGUAGGGCGGGACACGUGGUAUCCUGUCUGAAUAUGGGGGGACCAUCCUCCAAGGCUAAAUACUCCUGACUGACCGAUAGUGAACCAGUACCGUGAGGGAAAGGCGAAAAGAACCCCGGCGAGGGGAGUGAAAAAGAACCUGAAACCGUGUACGUACAAGCAGUGGGAGCACCCUUUGGGGUGUGACUGCGUACCUUUUGUAUAAUGGGUCAGCGACUUAUAUUCUGUAGCAAGGUUAACCGUAUAGGGGAG